UACACUCCGCGGGAGGCAGCAGUGGGGAAUAUUGGACAAUGGGCGCAAGCCUGAUCCAGCCAUGCCGCGUGAGUGAUGAAGGCCCUAGGGUUGUAAAGCUCUUUCACCGGUGAAGAUAAUGACGGUAACCGGAGAAGAAGCCCCGGCUAACUUCGUGCCAGCAGCCGCGGUAAUACGAAGGGGGCUAGCGUUGUUCGGAUUUACUGGGCGUAAAGCGCACGUAGGCGGACUAUUAAGUCAGGGGUGAAAUCCCGGGGCUCAACCCCGGAACUGCCUUUGAUACUGGUAGUCUUGAGUUCGAGAGAGGUGAGUGGAAUUCCGAGUGUAGAGGUGAAAUUCGUAGAUAUUCGGAGGAACACCAGUGGCGAAGGCGGCUCACUGGCUCGAUACUGACGCUGAGGUGCGAAAGCGUGGGGAGCAAACAGGAUUAGAAACCCCUGUAGUCCCAUGAU
rnacentral:rRNA from 1 species